rnacentral:tRNA from 1 species
GAGGGUAUAGCUCUGUGGUAGAGAACAUGCUUAGUGUGCAUGAGGUCCUGGAUCCAAUCCCCAGUACCUAUG